GUGCUCUUCAGAUCUACCCAGGACAGCUGACCCAAAGUGACCAAAAGGGUAUUCCAUACCAUCUGACAUCAUACUAAACAAUAUAUAGGGGUGGCUAGCCGGGAUGGGGGCCCGGCUGCUCAGGGUUAGGCUGGGCAUUGGUCAGCGGGUGGUGAGCAAUUGCAUUGUACAUCACUUGUUUUGUACACAUUAUUAUUAGUAGUACUAUUAUCAUUAUUAUUAUUAUUUUCCUUUCUUUUCUGUCCUA